rnacentral:rRNA from 1 species
CCUACGGGUGGCAGCAGUGGGGGAUAUUGCACAAUGGGGGGAACCCUGAUGCAGCGACGCCGCGUGGGUGAAGAAGCGCCUCGGCGCGUAAAGCCCUGUCAGCAGGGAAGAAAAUGACGGUACCUGAAGAAGACGCCCCGGCUAACUACGUGCCAGCAGCCGCGGUACUACGUAGGGGGCAAGCGUUAUCCGGAUUUACUGGGUGUAACGGGGGCGCAGACGGCGAUGCAAGCCAGGAGUGAAAGCCCGGGGCCCAACCCCGGGACUGCUCUUGGAACUGCGUGGCUGGAGUGCAGGAGGGGCAGGCGGAAUUCCUGGUGUAGCGGUGAAAUGCGUAGAUAUCAGGAGGAACACCGGUGGCGAAGGCGGCCUGCUGGACUGCAACUGACGUUGAGGCCCGAAAGCGUGGGGAGCAAACAGGAUUAGAUACCCGGGUAGUC